AGCAAAUGCAUAUAGUAGUUCAUAUGAAGUCAGUACUUAAUUCUUCCACUCGAACUGAGUUCCAAAAAAUGAAAAGCAAAAGGGACUAAUAAUGCAGAGCACCAAGUUUAAUAGAGUAUUACAUUUUUAACCUACACCAGGAUAGAGCACUAAGAGAGAACAAAAAUUACAUUCAUCAACUGUGGUUCUGGGAGUAUCCAAAGCUUAGCGGUUGCUGACAGAAAGAAGGCUGAAAGAAGGCAUGUCUAACUUGAUCAUAUGAAUGUGCAUAAAUCAUGCUCUGGGUUGGCCACUGCAUGAAUACUCCAUCAUUGAGGGUCUGAUUGAAUCCCAUGGCAUGGUAUGGGCUAAGAACAGGGCUCCUGUAAUUUGGUGAAGCUUGAGCACUGGGCAGCUGACUCAUCUGAGGAAAAACAGCAUCGUAAUGUACAUAUGGAGGCUGAAACUUCUGCACAUCAAAAGGUGCCACGCUAAAGCACUGACCAGAUGGGACGCUCUUAACAUAUCUAACAUAAUUCCGGUCAUAAUCAGGGUCACUCAGCUCUUUCUCCCUGUCCCUAAAGAUGGCAACUCGGGAAGAAGUACCACCUUCUCUGUUGCUGAUGCUUUUCUCCAUAUCCAAGAGUAACCUGUUUGAAGAUUCAUUCUCAUCUAUGUUGUUCUUGAGGUCAGAAGCAACAUGAACCAAAUUGUCUCUAGUCUCAGAGUUAAUAGGACUAUUAAAAAUGCGUGCACGUGCCCUGUCAUACUCCUCUUUUCUCUCUUCCACAGUUCUUACUUGACUGCGUUUUGCACCCAAUUCACUAUCUUUCGAAGAGGUGUUACUCGGCCUUGGUUGUAUUACUAUUUUCAUCUUCUCGUAUUUGUCACUGUCAGAUUGUUUAGGUGGGACGUCCGAUAAACGCACAGCAGGGUAUUUGCUUUCAGGUUUUCUUGUCACCAGGAUUUUGGCUCCCUGACCAUCCACAACAUUAUCCUGAACCAUAGUCUGCAAACCAUAGUGUUGAGCAACACGGUGCGCAGCAAGACGAAGGUAGGAAGUCGGAAAAUGUGGGAACUCAAACUGUUGCACGUCGGAACUUUGCAAGAACUUCUGAAUGUCGAGUUCCAUUCUUAGAAUGGUAAGACGAUGACGUGGGUUUUGAAGGGCUUCAACCAAGAAAGGAUCCACCAUUGACAAAUAAGCAGAAGAACCCGAAUCCAUUGUUAAAAAGUAAAAAAAAAACUCCCUUAAAAAGAUAUGUAUAGAAGGAUGGGUAAUAUAUGUAUCCAAAAAUUGGAAUACAAAAGGGUUUUUUGUCGCUCUCUCUCUGUUUCUUUCCUUCUUUUUUCUUCAACCCCAAAAGGGAUAUGAAGAAGAAGAAGAAGAGAUUUUCUUUGAACAACUCUCUCUUUCUCUGUAGAGAAGAAAAAGAAGAGAGAAAUUGAGAAGAGAAAACCCUUAUUGGCUUCUUAUCC
rnacentral:misc_RNA from 1 species